CCAUUAUCUUUUGCAGGAGCUCCUCUUUUGUGAUUUCAUUUGUUUUGGCAGAGCUAAAUAUAGAGUCAAUCACAUUAACCAGUUCCACUAAUGAUGGAGGAUUGUCAUCUGAUGCAUCCAAAGAGCUAAAUAUAGAGUCAAUCACAUUAACCAGUUCCACUAAUGAUGGAGGAUUGUCAUCUGAUGCAUCCAAACUAAUUUGAUUUUGGUUGAUUUUCUCAAAGGAAUAACAAAGAUUCUCUUGUAUCUGCAUUGAGAAAACCAAUUAACAAAGAUUUUCUCCAAAGCUCCACUUUUUCAUGCAUGAAUAUAUGAUUGAUGAGUGCCGUGCCGCACAAAUUAGUUGGAGUUUAACAUGAACUACUAAAAUGUCACAGGAUAAAAUUUGCUUUCUUUCCAAGUUCUCCG
rnacentral:lncRNA from 1 species